rnacentral:lncRNA from 1 species
UGGAGAAAAUCGAGUAAGGCUCGUUUGGUUUUCCAUUCGUCGAUUUGGUUUGUUAUGGAGGAUGAAGGUGUGAAGGGUGUACGGUGAGGUUGAGUUGAUGCGGUGGUAGGAGAGUGAGGUCUUUGUCUAUUUCUAGGGUUGCUGUUGGGGGAUUAGGUUUAGAUUUUCUUGCUCCUCCAUUUUCAUCUUCAUGCUCAUCACUCAGUCACUCGCUGACUAAACUGGUGUUAUUUUCUUC